rnacentral:rRNA from 1 species
GACGAAGGAUGCAAGCGUUAUCCGGAUUCAUUGGGUUUAAAGGGAGCGUAGGUGGCCUUAUAAGUCAGUGGUGAAAUCUCUCAGCUUAACUGAGAAAUUGCCAUUGAUACUGUAGGGCUUGAGUACAGAUGCCGUUGGCGGAAUAUGACAUGUAGUGGUGAAAUACAUAGAGAUGUCAUAGAACACCGAUUGCGAAGGCAGCUGACGAAACUGUAACUGACACUGAGGCUCGAAAGUGACGGGGAUCAAACAGG